rnacentral:misc_RNA from 1 species
UACGGAGGAUCCAAGCGUUAUCCGGAAUUACUGGGCGUAAAGAGUUGCGUAGGUGGCAGUGUAAGCAGAUAGUGAAAGCGUGUGGCUCAACCAUACAUCCAUUAUCUGAACUGCACAGCUAGAGGACGAGAGAGGUAGAUGGAAUUCCUAAUGUAGGGGUAAUAUCCGUAGAUAUUAGGAGGAACACCGAUGGCGUAGGCAGUCUACUGGCUCGUUCCUGACACUAAGGCACGAAAGCGUGGGUAGCAAACAGG